CAGCAGCCGCGGGAAUGCGAAGGGGGCUAGCGUUGCUCGGAAUCACUGGGCGUAAAGGGUGCGUAGGCGGGUCUUUAAGUCAGGGGUGAAAUCCUGGAGCUCAACUCCAGAACCGCCUUUGAUACUGAAGAUCUUGAGUUCGGGAGAGGUGAGUGGAACUGCGAGUGUAGAGGUGAAAUUCGUAGAUAUUCGCAAGAACACCAGUGGCGAAGGCGGCUCACUGGCCCGAUACUGACGCUGAGGCACGAUAGCGUGGGGAGCAAACAGGAUUAGAUACCCCUGUAGUCCCUGUCUCUUAUAC
rnacentral:rRNA from 1 species